UACAGAGGGCCCGAGCGUUGUUCGGAUUCAUUGGGCGUAAAGGGUGCGUAGGCGGCGUGGCAAGUCUGAUGUGAAAUCCUGGGGCUCAACCCUGGAACUGCAUUGGAUACUGCCUUGCUAGAGAACUGGAGAGGAGACUGGAAUUUACGGUGUAGCAGUGAAAUGCGUAGAGAUCGGAAGGAAGACCAGUGGCGAAGGCGAGUCUCUGGACAGUUACUGACGCUGAGGCACGAAGGCCAGGGGAGCAAACGGG
rnacentral:rRNA from 1 species